CGGGUGGAGCUGGGAGCAGGGCUGAAGAGCUUCCGCAGGAGAGUCUCUACAGGUCUCCAGCCUGUCACUCCCACCCUCUCCCUGCAAAUGAGGCUCAUUUCCCCGGAGUGUUCCCAUGAGUUCAUUUCCAAGGCCAGACGUCCUUUCUGCACAGAUCCUUUUUAUUGCCAUGGAGACAAUCUGCAGCUCCGACCAAUCACAAGUUUGAGCAGCAGGCACCAUGACAACCUGUGGGGGCUGGAAAGAGCUCCAGAACACCUCAAAGACCAAAGCCAAGACAGCAACCCAAUCUGGAGAUGCAGUGAUUCUCACGAGUGUGGUCGGGGAAGGGCAUCUGCCUUCCUCUGAGAGUGAGCUGGUGCCCUGCGGGGGCACAGCCGCCCGGCAUGGGACCCUGGACACUCUGAUUAUACAGAAGCAUGGCUGAGUCAGGCAGUGGAUGUCAACUGCGGCAGUCUCAAGAAUGAGUUGACACAGGACAGCAGAUGAAAGUGAAUACCUCUUUGCCAGAGAUGGCAGGGGUUGGGUGGGUCAGGAAGCAGUCACUGAUGUGCUAACACUGGAGGAGUUGGGUUUUACAGGGUGGGACGGGGCAUUUCCAGCAGAGGUGCUUCAUGAGGAGGAGCGCAGGGCAGGAGGGCUUGGGUCUCCUGCCCACCAUGGAGCUGCAGGGUAGAAUUGGGAGGAAGGCCCCAACCUAAAAUGGAGCUGGUGGCAGGGGUCAGUCUCAGCAGUGGCACCUUGCCAUACCUUUCCCAGUGGCUGUCUCCUUGGGACCAAAGGCAGUUUCAAGUUGCUGCUGUGGGGAUAUGGGACUUAGAAUGUGUCCCUGGGUCUCUUCUCUUUGAGCCAGGGUACAAACAGCAACCUGUGUUUCCAAGGCAGGAAUUCUAUUAUUUUUGAUUUCAAACAGUUCUCAACCUGUGGGUUGCGACGGCCCUGGCUGUCUAAUGACGCUUUCACAGGGGUGGCGUAUCAGAUAUUUACAUUACGAUUCGAACAGUGGCAAAACUACAGUUAUGAAGCAGCCAUGAGAUAAUUUUAUGGUUGGGGAGUCACUGCAAGAGGAGGAACUGUAUUAAAGGGUCGCAGCAUUAGGAAGGUUGAGAACCACUGUAUUAUGCUUCCUGUGUUUUCACUGCCACCUUUUUCUCCUGGAAGAUAUGCACAGAGGAUGAUCUCUCUCCUUUACCAAUUACAUUAUUAAUAUCAUAUGUCGACUACAUGUAGGUAUGUUUCUUCUGUUUAAGCAGGGAAAGGUUGAUGUUGGAGACUGAUUGAGCCAUUCACUUGCACACUCCCCUGGAAGGAGGAACACUGAGGGGGCCGUAGAGGCCCCUUAUCACCAGAAAGCAGAGGCCUGACGCUGUCCUGGCAGAUGAAUUAGUUGGUACAGCGAAAAGAACUGACUGUGCUGCCCCCCUCUCUCUGUUUCCUGGGUGACCGAGUGUCUAGAAGAACCAGCAACAAUGAGACGGAAGUGAAGUGCCCCGCAGUAUAAUAAACAUGACGGAAAUAGAGAUGGGGUCAAAUGACGGGUCGGUUGUGACUGAAGAGCAGGAAAAGGAGUCACACCCAGAAGAGCGAGACCCCUGUUGUGUCACUGUGACUCAGCCAGCUAGAGCUAGUUUUGAGUCUUGGUAUGGUAAGACUGUCAGAGAGGGAUUACACUGCAGGCCUAACUAAAAGCUUUGAGGAAGUGCUGUGCUCUUCUCUGUGAACAUUGUCCACCAGAGGAGGGCCAAAGAUCUGCGGUAAGCACGGAUUGCUAACAGUGGUUGUGAAGUCACUGCCUUACAGAAAAUUUCUUGAUUGCCAGUUAAGUAUCAGAAAGUAUGUGUAAGCAUGAUGGCUCGUGGCUGCAAGGCCAGCACUUAGGGGGCCAGAGAGGAGGAUCUCAAUGGACUAGGUGAAACAAAACAAAAUGAAACCAAACCAGCCAGAAACAGUAGAAGGAAAAUGAUCUGCUACAGUUUGGAUCUGAGAGGUCCCGCAAAGGCUCCCGUGUGGUUUGUAGCUUGACUGCCAGCUAAUGGGCUUUGGAGAAGGGAUUUGAUUCCAAGGGCUCUGACCUUAAGGAUUACGGGAAGAAUGGGUCAACAUACCCUGACUGGCGGCCCAUAAUGGCCCACGCAUGUGCAACAUCUGCCUGACCCCCUACCCCCAAGGACCAUCCGAGGGGGCCGAGGGCUAGAGCUACAACGGAUGAAUUAAUCCCUUGAUGAAUUUAUGACAUUGCUAGGAAGUGAUGGAAACUGGGAGGUUGGAUCUAGUUGGCAGAAGUGGGUCACUAAGGGUCUUUCUUCUCUGGCAAAACAUAUUGGUUCCCUGCCUCUUCCCUCUCUGCAGACUGGCAGCCAUGGAGCAAGCAGCAAUUCCUUCUGCCACAUCCCUGAGUAAAAGCAAUGGAGUCAGUUGGUUGUAGCUUGGAACCUCUCAAAGUGCGAAGCCUUUGGCGACAUGGGAGCAACUGACAUGUGGUCUAAGAGUUAACAUCUCAAAUGGGAUCUCCUCCUGUCCACUAAGCAGAGUGGAAGACACCUGUGGACUUUCUUUUUCCUUCGUUCAGUCGGUAGCUUGAUACAUCUGCCAGGGAAAGCGGAUGUUCCCAGGGAAGGAAGGACCGAGAUGCUACAGGGACAGCGGCCUGGGGAGCCUUCCGGUGCCAAGCCCCCUACAGUCUUUCUUUCAAAUUAUUUUCUAAAAUUUAAAUUAAAUGUAUUUUUGAAUAAUGAA